UACGUAGGUGGCAAGCGUUGUCCGGAUUUACUGGGCGUAAAGAGCGCGCAGGCGGUCGGAUAAGUCGAAUGUGAAAGCCCCCGGCUCAACUGGGGAGGGUCAUUCGAUACUGUUCGACUCGAAGGCAGGAGAGGGAAGUGGAAUUCCCGGUGUAGUGGUGAAAUUCGUAGAUAUUAGGAGGAACACUAGUGGCGAAGGCGGCUCACUGGCCCGGUACUGACGCUGAGGCGCGAAAGCGUGGGGAGCAAACAGG
rnacentral:rRNA from 1 species